GCCGUGGUAGCUCAGCCUGGCCAGAGCGAUUGCCUCGUAAGCAAUAGGUCACGGGCUCAAAUCCCGUCCACGGCU
rnacentral:tRNA from 1 species